rnacentral:lncRNA from 1 species
AUGUGCUGGCGUCCAUUAUUGCCGGUGCCUGUGGGCAUCUUCCAGAAGGCCGAGCGUGGGGGUCAGGUGAGACCAGGGCGAGGAUGCAUUGGACAUGCCAACCCUCAUUCACAAAGAUACAUUGUUGGGGGGAGGACUCAAGAUGGCGCUGUGAGAACAACCCAGGAUUGGAGCUCUCCUCGAAUCCGCAGAGAGCUGCUGCCCUGUCCCUGCACACCUUCCAACUAUCCAGCCUUGGGUAGGAUGCACUUGGAAAGACAGACACAGCUGCCUGGGAUCACAUGCCUGGCAAUAUCAACUGGAACCCCAGGACUAGAACAACCUCACCCCACCCUCCUCACCUGUGCCCAGCCUCGAGGUUUCUCGGCUUGCCCAUUAGAAGGGCAGGCUUGCUCACAAUAA